rnacentral:rRNA from 1 species
GAUGAACGCUAGCUACAGGCUUAACACAUGCAAGUCGAGGGGAAACGACAUCGAAAGCUUGCUUUUGAUGGGCGUCGACCGGCGCACGGGUGAGUAACGCGUAUCCAACCUGCCCACCACUUGGGGAUAACCUUGCGAAAGUAAGACUAAUACCCAAUGAUAUCCCACGAAGGCAUCCGAAUGGGAUUAAAGAUUUUGCGGACAUGGAUGGGGAUGCGUCCGAUUAGCUGGUUGGCGGGGUAACGGCCCACCAAGGCGACGAUCGGUAGGGGUUCUGAGAGGAAGGUCCCCCCANAUUGGAACUGAGACACGGUCCAAAACUCCUACGGGAGGCAGCAGUGAGGAAUAUUGGUCAAUGGACGCAAGUCUGAACCAGCCAAGUAGCGUGCAGGAUGACGGCCCUAAUGGGUUGUAAACUGCUUUUAUGCGGGGAUAAAGUGAGGGACGUGUCCCUUUUUGCAGGUACCGCAUGAAUAAGGACCGGCUAAUUCCGUG